GGUGUGUAUGUGUGUGUAUAUAUAUAUAUAUGCAUGUGUGUAUGUGUACAUAUGUUUAUGCAUGCAUGUGUGAGUGAGGCAGUGUUGUGAUAAAAUGUUUCAACUAUGUACCCUUUAGAUAUAAGCACUUGUGCCUGAAAAAAAUUCCUAGCAAAUCUAACUUCCGGAAACCUCAAAACAAGAAUUUCCAUCAAUAUUAAUAGCAACAUAUACAGAAAUAUUGACAAUUUUUGGUGACCAAAAGAAAAUUGAAACAAACCUGCUAUUUGUUGCAUAUAUAUAUAUAUAACCACACACACACACACAACACACAUCUUAAACACCAAGACAAAUCAUUCAUAUGAAGACAUAUGCACAUACACUACACAAAGUGAAAACAAAAGUGCAUGUAGACAGGAAAAGUAUUUAACACACAUACAACAACACAUACAAAGAAACGCUCACAAGCAAUUGAUAUUGGAAAAAGGCUUACACGUCCAAAGGCACACACAUAAACGUACAC